rnacentral:rRNA from 1 species
GUAGGGGACAAGCGUUAUCCGGAUUUACUGGGCGUAAAGCGCCCGUAGGCGGCUCUGUAAGUUGGACGUGAAAGCUCCCGGCUUAACUGGGAGAGGCCGUUCAAAACUGGAGGGCUAGAGUGAGGCAGAGGAGCGCGGAAUUCCCGGUGUAGUGGUGGAAUGCGUAGAUAUCGGGAGGAACACCAGUGGCGAAAGCGGCGCUCUGGGCCUAAACUGACGCUGAGGGGCGAAAGCGUGGGGAGCGAACGGGAUUAGAUACCCCGGUAGUCCACGCCGUAAACGAUGGAGACUAGGUGUAGAGGGAUAGAACCCCCUCUGUGCCGAAGCCAACGCGUUAAGUCUCCCGCCUGGGGAGUACGGCCGCAAGGUUAAA